UACGGAGGGUGCAAGCGUUAUCCGGAUUCACUGGGUUUAAAGGGUGCGUAGGUGGGUCUGUAAGUCAGUGGUGAAAUCUCCGUGCUUAACAUGGAAACUGCCAUUGAUACUAUAGGUCUUGAAUUUUCUGGAGGUAAGCGGAAUAUGUCAUGUAGCGGUGAAAUGCUUAGAUAUGACAUAGAACACCAAUUGCGAAGGCAGCUUACUACAUAGUUAUUGACACUGAGGCACGAAAGCGUGGGGAUCAAACAGG
rnacentral:rRNA from 1 species